rnacentral:sRNA from 1 species
AAGCCUGAGGACCCGGGUUCGAUUCCCGGCA